AAAAUAAUAGGGAUUUAUGAUGAGAUAUGCUG
rnacentral:guide_RNA from 1 species